rnacentral:rRNA from 1 species
UGCGAGCGUGACGGCGCGAGCAGGUGCGAAAGCAGGUCAUAGUGAUCCGGUGGUUCUGAAUGGAAGGGCCAUCGCUCAACGGAUAAAAGGUACUCCGGGGAUAACAGGCUGAUACCGCCCAAGAGUUCAUAUCGACGGCGGUGUUUGGCACCUCGAUGUCGGCUCAUCACAUCCUGGGGCUGAAGUAGGUCCCAAGGGUAUGGCUGUUCGCCAUUUAAAGUGGUACGCGAGCUGGGUUUAGAACGUCGUGAGACAGUUCGGUCCCUAUCUGCCGUGGGCGCUGGAGAACUGAGGGGGGCUGCUCCUAGUACGAGAGGACCGGAGUGGACGCAUCACUGGUGUUCGGGUUGUCAUGCCAAUGGCACUGCCCGGUAGCUAAAUGCGGAAGAGAUAAGUGCUGAAAGCAUCUAAGCACGAAACUUGCCCCGAGAUGAGUUCUCCCUGACCCUUUAAGGGUCCUGAAGGAACGUUGAAGACGACGACGUU